AUGUUUAGAUUGCCCUUAGAAAUAGAUUUUGUCUAAAUUUGGUAUGUUAGCCUGAGUAAAAUUCAGGUGGUGCUGAAGCCUUAAACCCGUUCGGGGUAGAAGACAUAAUUUAGAUGAAAAGCUAUAUUAUACGUUUAGGGUUGUGAUUGUUUUGUUUGUGUAAACGUCAUAUCCAUUGUUGCCUAGUUACUUCGUGACGUUAUCAUUGUAUGCCAUAUUGUCAUAUCCCAACCCAUAGUGACAGUCUCAUUUAAUUAUUUCAUUUGUUUAUAUUAUUUUAAAUUAUUUAUUUUUAUUAAUUUAAUUAGAUCUGUAUUUUUUUUUCACUUAAUGAUAGAAAGUGCGGGUAGGAUUCUUUUAUUGUGAAUCAGACUAAAAUAAUUUUAGUUUGAGCGGUUAAAAUCAAAUAUGAUUUUGCCAUGAGAAUAAUGCCGAAACUGGCUAUGUAGUCAAACACUGUCGUCUGGCUAAAUAUAGAUCUACAAAUUUUGUACAUCUCUUUGGUACAAUUAAAUCAUCUAGACUCUAAGUUGAAAUAUUAUUAAUUGAAAAAUGAAUGAAGAUUACUGCCAGUGAAGAACACUAGUGACGUGUGACGUGCCCAGAAGAUGCCACAUUUUCUUUUAUGAUGAACUGUGUACUAAUGAAGAUGAUUCUGGAAUGUUGUGAACAUUGACAUUGAAUAUGAGGAACUGUCAAGUCAAGAUGAAGAUGUCAAGAUGAAGAUGUCAAGAUUUUAUGUUUGUUGUCUUCCCCUUAAAUUGAAAAUGCCCUUGUAAGACUUGACAGUAGUGGAAAAA